UACAGAGGUCUCAAGCGUUGUUCGGAUUCAUUGGGCGUAAAGGGCGCGUAGGCGGCUUGGCAAGUGGAUGGUGAAAUCCCUCGGCUUAACCGAGGAACUACCAUCCAGACUGCUUUGCUUGAGGCCGGGAGAGGUGAGUGGAAUUCCCAGUGUAGCGGUGAAAUGCGUAGAUAUUGGGAGGAACACCAGUGGCGAAGGCGGCUUACUGGACCGGUUCUGACGCUGAGGCGCGAAAGCGUGGGGAGCAAACGGG
rnacentral:rRNA from 1 species